rnacentral:rRNA from 1 species
UACGAAGGGGGCUAGCGUUGCUCGGAAUCACUGGGCGUAAAGGGUGCGUAGGCGGGUCUUUAAGUCAGGGGUGAAAUCCUGGAGCUCAACUCCAGAACUGCCUUUGAUACUGAGGAUCUUGAGUUCGGGUGAGGUGAGUGGAACUGCGAGUGUAGAGGUGAAAUUCGUAGAUAUUCGCAAGAACACCAGUGGCGAAGGCGGCUCACUGGCCCGAUACUGACGCUGAGGCACGAAAGCGUGGGGAGCAAACAGG